GAGGAAAAGAAACUAACAAGGAUUCCCCUAGUAACUGCGAGUGAAGCGGGAAAAGCUCAAAUUUAAAAUCUGGCAGUCUUUGGCUGUCCGAGUUGUAAUCUAGAGAAGUGCUAUCCGCGCUGGACCGUGUACAAGUCUCCUGGAAUGGAGCGUCAUAGAGGGUGAGAAUCCCGUCUUGACACGGACUGCCAGGGCUUUGUGAUACGCUCUCAAAGAGUCGUGUUGUUUGGGAAUGCAGCUCAAAAUGGGUGGUAAAUUCCAUCUAAAGCUAAAUAUUGGCGAGAGACCGAUAGCGAACAAGUACCGUGAGGGAAAGAUGAAAAGAACUUUGGAAAGAGAGUUAAACAGUACGUGAAAUUGCUGAAAGGGAAACGCUUGAAGUCAGUCGCGUUGUCCAGGGAUCAACCUUGCUUUUGCUUGGUGCACUUUCUGGUUGACGGGUCAGCAUCAAUUUUGACUAUUGGAAAAAGAUUAGGGGAAUGUGACAUCUUUAGAUGUGUUAUAGCCCUUGGUUGCAUACAAUGGUUGGGAUUGAGGAACUCAGCACGCCGCAAGGCCGGGUUUUAAACCACGUACGUGCUUAGGAUGCUGGCAUAAUGGCUUUAAUCGACCCG
rnacentral:rRNA from 1 species